UUUAGAGAAAGAGGGUAGCUUAGAAAUGAUUGAAUGUUUUCUCUGAUCAAAAUCAGUGGUAACGAUUUAUUAUAAUACGUUGGUUUACACUUUGAGUGUUUCGUAAAGUUAAAUAACUUUGUCAAUAUACAACUUAUAGAAAAGUCGUUUGUCUAGACUCCCUCUGACUGUCAACUAAUGCAGAGGAUUAUGACUAAGAAACAUUUUUGGUAUUUGCUCUUAAUGUUAUCACAAAUGCUACGCAAUAUUUGUCAGUGUGUCAACAAACUGAAAAUCUUCUGAUAGAAAGUUAUUAUGAAUAAAAAUGCUUUCUCAUGGCAUUAUCUAGCGCUAAAAGGUAAUGAUUGAUAUCACAAAUAAUAGGUUUCAGUUGAAUGCACAAAUUAGUCUACCGUUGAUUUCCAUCAUUGCGUUGUUUUCAGACCAGUCUUCGGAUUAUAUUUCACGAUGGUAUUUGCCCCAUUUUUAACGAAAGUGUUA